AACGAACGCUGGCGGCAGGCUUAACACAUGCAAGUCGAGCGAGGACUUCGGUCCUAGCGGCGGACGGGUGAGUAACGCGUGGGAACGUGCCCUUUGCUACGGAAUAGCCCUGGGAAACUGGGAGUAAUACCGUAUGUGCCCUUCGGGGGAAAGUUUAUCGGCAAAGGAUCGGCCCGCGUUGGAUUAGGUAGUUGGUGGGGUAAUGGCCUACCAAGCCGACGAUCCAUAGCUGGUUUGAGAGGAUGAUCAGCCACACUGGGACUGAGACACGGCCCAGACUCCUACGGGAGGCAGCAGUGGGGAAUCUUAGACAAUGGGCGCAAGCCUGAUCUAGCCAUGCCGCGUGAGCGAUGAAGGCCUUAGGGUUGUAAAGCUCUUUCAGUGGGGAAGAUAAUGACGGUACCCACAGAAGAAGCCCCGGCUAACUCCGUGCCAGCCGCCGCGGUAACAC
rnacentral:rRNA from 1 species